CACAGUUAUAUCAUGUCAUAAAGAGCAACGGUAGAGUUCUGAGAGAGCUUCUUGUUGAUCCCUUUUGAUCAGAUGGCCUCAAUCCUUCCCCAGAGUACCAGAAAACUUCAGCGAAACAACCUGCUUUUGCCGGAAUGACCCAGAAUGCUAUGAAACUUUCUUCAGCUUUUGGAUGACAUUCUCACACAUUCCCUCAAAUGAACUAGUGACUUUGAAAC
rnacentral:lncRNA from 1 species